rnacentral:rRNA from 1 species
GGCGUGCUUAACACAUGCAAGUCGAACGGAAAGGCCCUGCUUUUGUGGGGUGCUCGAGUGGCGAACGGGUGAGUAACACGUGAGUAACCUGCCCUUGACUUUGGGAUAACUUCAGGAAACUGGGGCUAAUACCGGAUAGGAGCUCCUGCUGCAUGGUGGGGGUUGGAAAGUUUCGGCGGUUGGGGAUGGACUCGCGGCUUAUCAGCUUGUUGGUGGGGUAGUGGCUUACCAAGGCUUUGACGGGUAGCCGGCCUGAGAGGGUGACCGGCCACAUUGGGACUGAGAUACGGCCCAGACUCCUACGGGAGGCAGCAGUGGGGAAUAUUGCACAAUGGGCGGAAGCCUGAUGCAGCAACGCCGCGUGCGGGAUGACGGCCUUCGGGUUGUAAACCGCUUUCGCCUGUGACGAAGCGUGAGUGACGGUAAUGGGUAAAGAAGCACCGGCUAACCUACGUGCCAGCAGCCGCGUGGAUACGUAGGGUGCGAGCGUUGUCCG